rfam:Candida tropicalis MYA-3404 genomic scaffold supercont3.1, whole genome shotgun sequence.
UUAGAAUGAUGAAAAAUAAAUGUUAUCAGUUCUGCUUCUGAACCAAAAUAAUCUGAAGAUAUCAACUUUACCAAGCUCUAGAAUUACACUGAUUU